UACGAAGGGUGCAAGCGUUACUCGGAAUUACUGGGCGUAAAGCGUGCGUAGGUGGUUUGUUAAGUCUGUUGUGAAAGCCCCGGGCUCAACCUGGGAAUGGCAUUGGAAACUGGCGACCUAGAGUGCGGUAGAGGGUAGUGGAAUUCCCGGUGUAGCAGUGAAAUGCGUAGAGAUCGGGAGGAACAUCCGUGGCGAAGGCAACUACCUGGACCAGCACUGACACUGAGGCACGAAAGCGUGGGGAGCAAACAGG
rnacentral:rRNA from 1 species